rnacentral:lncRNA from 1 species
UGUUGUGAUUACAGGCAUGAGCCACCGCACCUGGCCAAGAUGCUUUUUCUGUUUCUGAGAUACAAUGAACUAUAUCUUAAGAAUUCAUAAAGCCCUAAAAAGUAAAUAUUUACAACCAGAAAUCUUUCUGACAAAGAAACAAGAUUACUCAAAUGUUAUUAACUAAAUUCUAAAAGCUUCAUAUAAUCAUCUGAUACAUACAUCACAUCAAUUUCAGCCUAGGCUCUCUAUGGUGGCAAAUUAUUUCAGCACUAAAUCAUGAAGGCUGGAUUCUUGAAGCCUGGCAGAGGCAAAUGUCUCAUUAAUGCUGAUCUGAGAGACAUCUGUGAUGAGCCUGAACAUCAGGCCAAUCUGCAGAGCUGAUCAGGGGCUGCUGAGUGGUUCUGAAGUGAGUCAGGCUGUGAAUGAAGACUCCACCAGAAUGAGGAGAAUUCCAUGCAUGGAGAUUCAAAUAAAGACAAAAGGGAGAUGCAACUAUGGAGGCUGAGAAGUCCCACCAUCGGAGCGCCUCUGCCCCGCCGCCCCAUCUGGGAUGUGAGGAGCGCCUCUGCCCGGCCGAGACCCCGUCUGGGAGGUGAGGAGCGUCUCUGCCCGGCCGCCCCGUCUGAGAAGUGAGGAGACCCUCUGCCUGGCAACCACCCCGUCUGAGAAGUGAGGAGCCCCUCCGCCCGGCAGCUGCCCCGUCUGAGAAGUGAGGAGCCUCUCCGCCCGGCAGCCACCCCAUCUGGGAAGUGAGGAGCGUCUCCGCCCGGCAGCCACCCCGUCCGGGAGGGAGGUGGGGGGGGGUCAGCCCCCC